ACCAUCAGGCUCCCCAAGUCCUUCUCCACAGGGCUGCUCUCAAUCCAUCUCAAACAACAGAAGCACUGGGCCUUUCUGGCUCAUACUGUCUGUUUUUUUUUCUCCCCUCCUUCGUACAUCUUCUCAUCAUCAUUCCCAAUCCAGAUGUGAACACUGCUGUGUCCAUCCAUUGGGUGACACCAAUUAAUUUCCUCAACAGUAUUCCCCGAUCUAGUGGUUGGAAACCCUGUCCAUGCCAGGAUGUUGGAGCUCAGUGAUCUUUAAGGUACUUUCCAACCUAAGUCAUUCUGUACUUGUAUGAUUCUAUUGCUCAGUAUUUCAGUCUGGCUUCUGAUUGCGUCAAUGUGCCAACCAGGGAAGCUUUCUAUAUGCACUUUUAUUUCAUACUGUAUACUAGAGAGCAGCAUGUUGGAGGGUUGUUGUAAUACUGAAGGAGAGGGAGCCCUGCAAAGGUUUUAGAUUUUUUCAAACUCUUAUGGGAAUAUAUAAAGGGAUUUUAUAUAUUGCUGAGCUAAGCAGUAGCUGGCAAAUAGUUUCCUGUUUGAGGGAAUGGAGAUAUAUGUACCUACUUUCUUUCAAUGUGUAUUACUCACUGAGCUACAUUGGGAAUAGCACAAGUUUUCCAUUCUGCCUCAGUUUUGAAAUUACAGUUUUCAGCAAUCUCUUUUAAGCUAUGUUAAUUAACCCGACUUCACUGACUUUGAUCCACUACUCCAUACUAUUUCCAAAUAAGAUAAAAUAAAAUAAAAUAAUAUCCAAAUAAAAUAAAAUAAGAUAAAAUGUGAAUGCUUCUCAUUAUGCUUGUUUACAAAAUUGGUGAUAUUGAUGUAUGGUAUGAAUUUUGCUGUGAAUUUAUCUACUUUAUUUUACCCGCUUCACAUCAGAAAUAUCUAAGAACAUUCUGGAAGAGCAAACUCCUUAAAUUUACUCUGGUGUCUCUGUGACUCCAGUGCCCUUGCAUCAUCAGUUUGCUCUGAUUCUUAAUCUAUUAAGAGCCAAAGCAAAUUAUAAAAGUAUACUGAUCACCCGACUGCCUGUGAUAGCAAAUUUCCAUGGUGGUAGCUAAAGGAGCUUACAAUAUAACACAAGUAAUGACAGACAGUGCAGCAAAGGUGAGCUCUGAAGAUGUGGAAUAGGGUGGGCACAGUGAUGUUUGACCAAUCCAAGUAAAUCUGUGCAUAUAAAUAUCUCAAAGAACUCUGUUAUCCCUGAGGAAAUUAACCACUGUUUUUGAGUGAUGGGAAAUGAAAUUCCAAGCCAUGUAUGACUCUACAGCACUGCUUUCCAUGUGGUUACAGAGCCAUGCACUGAGAUAAAAGCAGCCAAGCAAAGUCAGUCUCCAUUCUUUGGUGUUCCUGAACCCCUGAAAGCUGUGCCCUGGCCCCCUGCCCAUGGCCCUCCUAUGCCAUCUGAUGUCAUUCUGACUAAGGCAAAUGUUCUGACAUCCUUCAACUGUCAUCUUGUGAGAUGGAAUAGGCAACUCCUUGUGUUUAUUUAGUCAGUUUACUUACAGCCAGACAGCUUACCUCUCAGGCAGGAUGCCUGCUUCUCAUCUGGUUUCUACUCUAUUUGAUUUGUUUUACUCGUAGCCCUACUAUGAAUUUAAACUUCCCUGAAUACACAAAUCUUUCUGGUGCUAGUUCAUUCGCAGGGAAGGCCAACACUGUAAUUGAAAAUUAAUUAAAUGGGCGUAGGUGUCUGUCUCUGCAUGGGGCAGGCAUCAUGCUGUGUGUGAGCAGGAAUGAGGGGAAGGUAAGCAUUUCUAAUGGAAUAGGUUCCUCUCCACACUGGAUUCGUUAGCAUAAUCAUAAUUGUGAUGGUUUACUUGCCAUGCAGAUAGCAAGCCAAUGAUUCCAUAGAAACAUGGUAACAGUGAUCAGCUCUGUACAUCUGUGGAAGUUUUCUGUGCAUUGUAUUUAUUUCAUUGCUUUCUUUCUCAGACUUCUCUUCCCCCAGUACAUCUGUACUCGAGAAAUUUUAUUUGGCCAGUUUGGUCAGCACAAACAUAUAAAAUGACAGAUUUUUCUACGUGGUUGAUUGAUUCUCAUAUUCGAAAAUCAUAUUCAAAGGAAAUACGUCUCAUACACAUCUCUGAUUUUAAUAGUGUCUUUUGCAAAACACUCAUGAUGCUUCAUGGAAAACCUAGAAGAUGAACUUAAAUAAACAGAGUAGACAAAUCCUAAUAUGAGGCAGUACUGCUCUUCCUUUCACUCUUGUUGCCUAGUUCUGGAAAUCGACUAUAUUAGUAUUUAAAUAAGAGUAAAAGACAGGAGAUCAGGAAGAAAAACAAAGACGUCCCAUAUCUACUUUUACAUUAACAGAAUAAUACCCUGAAAGGGAAAUCAUGCCAAUAGCUGCAUCUGUGCUUUUGGCAAGAUGGUGAUUAAAAAAAAAAGCAAAAGAAAUCUCUUCAUUUUCAAGAUAGCUUCACAAAGAAAGCAACCAGACAUGGAAUCAUCUCCCACACUUCACUGCCUGCGCCUGUUGCAUGCGAUGUCCUUGGAUGCCUAAAAGAUUAGGCAGUAUGAUCCACCUGGCCCAAGUAAAAGGGACCAAAGGCAUUUCUCCGUCUACAAAGUUAAGCUCCUGGUAAGUGUAUCCUUUUACUAAGUCACGCAAUAUUUUCAUAAUGAAUAAUACUAAUAAUUAUUAUUACCAAUUUUUUGGUAAUUACACUGAAGUACAAUGUUUACGUCUGCCAGUUGUUACGAACUUGGUAAAUAGAGGAAAGGCUGUAACACGACCUAAGUAAGGUAUAUUGAUGAAGACUAUGUAUUUUGAGAAGCUGAUAUUCCUUUCUUUUCUUUUUCAGCUCUAUGAAAAUGAAGAAGACAAACUGAAAGUUUUGCUCUGCAAAAAUUAAUAGGGACCUCUGGGUCUUGAGGGGACAAAAUUGUGGAUGAGUCCUCUCAUGUGGCAAGGCAUUAAGAGCAACAAAAAAGUUAAACUUCAGACAUCAGCCUGCACCACAGGACUGUUCUCAGCCACCCUGGUUUGCGGCAUCGCUUGCACAGUGGCACUUUUCAACACCCAGGAGAGCUCAAUACUACUGCUAUGAAGAAUGUGGACGUAAAGACCAACCUUUAUAUUUGUGUCCCUGAAUUUCUUCCACUUGAGGAAAAGGCUAUCUACUAUUGAAUAAUGUCCUGAAACAUAAUUCAGAAGCAGAAGCAGCAGAAAAAAAAUCCUGAAGUGGGGGAGAGACAUACUUCUUAAACAUUACUCAUUGGAAUUGUGGUGCAAUGUAGAAGCUGCUAUUGAUAUGCCAUAGCUGACGUGAUGGAGUACCAAGUGGACGUUCCUCAACAAUUCAGCUCCAUCUACCCUAAAAUCAUCACUAUUCUCUUACUAGGCCACAUUUUCAGGGAAUUACUCAGGAGGUGCCUGAGCUUUCCCAGACCUAAAUUCAUUUCAGCUGCAUAAUUCUUCUGGAGUAAAAGCAAGAGGCAGUGUAGUCCAUGAGUUGCUGUGAAGGUGUUAUAACAACACUCCUCACUUUUAAGGGACUCAUGGUGGUAUGUAGGAAUCUAAUUAAUUUCCUACCAUUAAUGAUUUUCCACUUUAUUGUGAACAUUGUUCUGUUUGUAUGUAGGUAUACAAAUUUGCUGUCUUGAAUGUACAGUGUUGUGAGCCACAAAGUCAUUUUAUCUACCAGGUGCUGAUUUAAAUGAAGAAAUGCUCUAUAUCGUUAAUAUAAAAAGACUGUGAGAAAUAUGUUUUCUUGAGUUAAAAUGUACUUGAAAAAUGUUCAACAUUUGAUAAUAAAUCUUCGAAAAAAACAACAAAA